UCAAAACUCUAAUUUGGCAUUAAAAUUAGAAAGAUCAUAUCAUAGGGCACAUGUGUACUAAGUUUCAAGUUGAUUGGACUCCAACUUCAUCAAAAACUACCUUGACCAAAAACUUUAACCUGAAGCGGGACAGAUGGACGAACGAACGGACGCACAGACCAGAAAACAUAAUGCCCCUCUACUAUCGUAGAUGGGGCCUGAAAAU
rnacentral:lncRNA from 1 species